GAUCCUGGCUCAGGAUGAACGCUAGCGGCAGGCUAACACAUGCAAGUCGAGGGGCAGCGGGAUGUAGCAAUACAUUGCCGGCGACCGGCGGAUGGGUGCGUAACGCGUAUGCAACCUACCUUAUACAGGGGAAUAACCUUUCGAAAGGGAGACUAACACCCCAUAGUAUUGAUUUAAGGCAUCUUAGAUUAAUUAAAUAUUUAUAGGUAUAAGAUGGGCAUGCGUAUGAUUAGCUAGUUGGUAAGGUAACGGCUUACCAAGGCGACGAUCAUUAGGGGUUCUGAGAGGAAGGUCCCCCACACUGGUACUGAGACACGGACCAGACUCCUACGGGAGGCAGCAGUGAGGAAUAUUGGUCAAUGGGCGCAAGCCUGAACCAGCCAUGCCGCGUGCAAGGAAGACGGCCUUAUGGGUUGUAAACUGCUUUUACAUAAGACUAACCGUAUAUUUGCGAAUAUACCUGAAUGUAUUAUGAGAAUAAGGAUCGGCUAACUCCGUGCCAGCCGCGGC
rnacentral:rRNA from 1 species